rnacentral:rRNA from 1 species
UGGGGAAUUUUGGACAAUGGGGGAAACCCUGAUUCAGCCAUCCCGCGUGUGCGAUGAAGGCCUUCGGGUUGUAAAGCACUUUUGGCAGGAAAGAAACGUCAUGGGUUUAUACCCCGUGAAACUGACGGUACCUGCAGAAUAAGCAACGGCUAACUACGUGCCCGCAGCCCCGGUAAUACGUAGGGUGCAAGCGUUAUUCGGAAUUACUGGGCGUAAAGCGUGCGCAGGCGGUUCUGAAAGAAAGAUGUGAAAUCCCAGAGCUCAACUUUGGAACUGCAUUUGUAACUACCGGGCUAGAGUGUGUCAGAGGGAGGUGGAAUUCCGCGUGUAGCGGUGAAAUGCGUAGAUAUGCGGAGGAACACCGAUGGCGAAGGCGGCCUCCUGGGAUAACACUGACGCUGAUGCACGAAAGCGUGGGGAGCAAACAGG